AAGUCCGCGAGGAUUUGUCUGAAGGAAGCCCGAGCGCAAAGGUGCGAGCCGACGAACAGAAAUCGCAUAGAAGGCUCAGCUCUGGGGCGAGUCAGCACAAGAUGACGAAGCCCGCGGUGUCCAGGAGCAGGGUAAAUGCGGCGGUUGUGCACUGAAGGCUUAUGUU
rfam:Betaproteobacteria bacterium RIFCSPLOWO2_12_FTLL_68_20 rifcsplowo2_12_scaffold_4967, whole genome shotgun sequence.